rnacentral:pre_miRNA from 1 species
GGGUCUGUGGGAAGGCAUAGAGGUACUUGACUUUGAGGUAUGUACCCUGUCCCUCCCGCUGGACCC